CUGGUUUGCUCAAUUUCUUUCACGGGGGGGACAAAUAACAAGAGUGAAAAAGUGAACUGAGGGCAAUAUCGAUGAUGUUUGCUUCAAACCUUUGGAAAACUACCAGGAUUCAGUGUUCUCCAUGAAUGAGGAAAUAUGUUAAAAUCUGUACACAGCGAGCAAACUCUCCCUGGCUGACUGAAAAUUAAGGCAGAAAGUAAACAUUGUAGGGAAAGUCACGGGAAGCCCUUCCCAAAUGAGAUUGCCCAAGGGAUUCUGCUUGGCUUACAAGAAUCGGAUAGUUGGUAUUUCCAGAAUGACUUUAUUCUUUCCGAUUGGUUGUAGGAGAUGAGAUGAUCUGUAUAAAUGCGAGCUCCUCUUGAGUGCGGAGCAGCAGCAGAAUUCCUGGCUCAGCGGGAAAAGACGUAACCCGGCAAAGCUCAGAAGGAGGCACGGUGAAGCUGUUUGUCUGCAUCUUGCUCUUCUCCCUGGCUCUGGGUGCCCACAGCCAGAACUGGUUUCUGGACUCCGGAAGAUUCGUUAAGGAGGCAAGUCAAGUUUAGCACUUUCCUCCGUUGUUCUGCUGGAAACUCGAGCCACUGUUCCUGGAAUUCUGGAUGAAAGGUCACCGCGCUCUCCGCGGGAGCUGGACUUGUGCCGCUGUUGAAAUACGAGGUGUAAAGUCCAGCCGGCUGCCACUCGAGCGGGAACUAGCGGGGCCGAGUGGAUUCUCGAAACUUAUAAAACAAUGAUCGUUCCUGGCUUUCCCGAAAAACAUCCACCCCGCCUCGGUGCUACCAUUAAGAACCCAAAACGCCGACCCUCCCCGGGAGCCGAGCUGCUUUCCCCUCCUGCGAUCCUUCCGAGGGCUCCCCCAAUCUUCCACGCUUCUUUUUCACAUGGUAUUUGUUCAGCGCUCACUAUGUGCCAGACGCUGCUCUAAGUACUGGGGUAGUUACGAGCUAAUCAGG